UACGUAGGGUGCGAGCGUUAAUCGGAAUUCUGGGGCGUAAAGGGUGCGCAGGCGGUCCUGCAAGUCAGGCGUGAAAUCCCCCGGGCUUAACCUGGGAAUGGCACUUGAAACUACGGGACUGGAGUAUGGCAGAGGGAGGUGGAAUUCCACGUGUAGCGGUGAAAAUGCGUAGAGAUGUGGAGGAACACGAUGCGAAGGCAGCCUCCUGGGCCAAUACUGACGCUCA
rnacentral:rRNA from 1 species